AAAGUGAUCAAAAGACAGAGACCAGGUAUUUUAAGAGGGGGUGACUAAACACGUGAAAAGAUGUUUAAUCUCACAAACGAUCGACUAAGAUCACAAUGAAUACCAUUUUACAUCCAAAAGAUUGAAAAGUUAAGAAAUAUAACAAUACCAAUGAAGAAGAUAUGCAUCAAGAAGACAUCUACAGGUGGGGUUGUAAACUGAUACUCUGUUUGGAAAGCGAUUCGGCAUUAUCUUAUAAGGAUUCUUCAGGCUUUCUAUUUUUCUUAAGUCAAUUCUGAUGUUCUAAGAAGACUUUCAGUUGCAUGGCCUGAGAGCCUUGGGAUUCCGUCACCCACCCACCAUCCUUUAUGGAUCAUUUUUGUGUCAAUGUGAAGUCUGAGAGUCAUGGAGCCCAGUUAGAAAAUGAGUCAGUGGUCCAGGUGAAUGAUGAUGGAUAAAUAAACUUCCAUCACCAUGGAACUCAGGAGACAGAAGGUAUAUAUUUUGUAUGUAGAGGUAGGUGGUUCUUGGCUAGGGGUAAUUUUACUUUCCAGAGGACACUUGGCAAUGUCUGGCAAUAGUUUUAGUUGUCUAACUGGGGUAUAGGUGCUACUGACAUCUAGAGGG
rnacentral:lncRNA from 1 species